rnacentral:misc_RNA from 1 species
UCGCGGCUUAUCACCGGCAGUCCCCUUAGAGUGCCCAACUGAAUGAUGGCAACUAAGGGCGAGGGUUGCGCUCGUUGCGGGACUUAACCCAACAUCUCACGACACGAGCUGACGACAGCCAUGCAGCACCUGUGUCCUGGCUCCCUUUCGGGCACUCCCGCAUCUCUACGGGAUUCCAGGCAUGUCAAGGGUAGGUAAGGUUUUUCGCGUUGCAUCGAAUUAAUCCACAUCAUCCACCGCUUGUGCGGGUCCCCGUCAAUUCCUUUGAGUUUUAAUCUUGCGACCGUACUCCCCAGGCGGUCUACUUCACGCGUUAGCUGCGUUACCAAUCCAAUUAAGGACCGACAACUAGUAGACAUCGUUUAGGGCGUGGACUAC